UGCUGGGAUUGCUCCGCGUUCUGAAAAGCGGUGACCCCGUGGCGUGGGCCGGGGGGCCCGGGGACAGCGCUGGGGGCUCAGGGCUGAGCCCGGAGGGAGGGCCCGGGGCUGCAGUUCCCCCCACCCCUCAGAUCCUUCUGCCCCCCCCCACGCAGCCGCCCCGUGUCCCCAUACCGACGGCAGCGCCGCGCGACAGCCGAGCGGGCAGUGCUGGCGGGACGUAAAAACAGCAGAUUUGGCGAUGGAGUGACUUUGCAAAGAUUCGCACGGGCUUUGAACUGCAGCCCCUCCCUCCUGCCCGCGAUAGCGGGUAAAUAAACACUCACCCAAUAAUCUCAUUCUUGGAGUUCUUCUUUAUCCGCUCCGUAAAACGAAACAGAUGGGCACGGAGCUGUGCCUCCAACCCCGGCACCGGAAGCGCCCGGCCCCGCUGGGACCCCCGGGGGUGUCCUGGGCCCGGCAGCCACCCAUGGGAGGGGCGCAGUGCUUUGCUCCCUUCGCCUCUGCUUUGUGCGCAGAGACCCCCGUGCGUGCGUAGGGUGAGGUUUGCUAACGCGUUGCUUGAGGGAAUUGGCGUGGGGUGAAUGGGGCCGGGUGGGGGGACGGACACCCCUGCACCUUCCUGGCUUCCCCGCGGCCCCGUCCUAUCGCAGGGCACGGAGCUGCUCCCAAAAUGGCCUCCCCAGCUGGGGGGUACGCGGUGCGCAACGGCCGUGCGCCGAGCAGCGUGCCGAGCGUGCAAGGAGCGUGCACCGGGCGGCGUGCUCCAGUCGUGCAAGGAGCGUGCACCGUCCUCGUGAGCGGCGUGCAUGGAGCAGCGUGUGCCGACACGGCGUGCAGCCCCUGCUCUGCUCCGUCCUCCCCUUCCCUCCGUCAAAAGACGACAGAUUGCAAGUGGCACUUAGCACGGAGAGACUGCCUUGUGAUUACCCAUCGGAUAACAUUUUAAUUGUACUUCUGGCACUCUGUCAAGCUAAUUUGAACGGCGUUUCAAUAUUA
rnacentral:lncRNA from 1 species